GCGCCGCCUGCAGCCCGCGCCGCUCGCGCUGCGGCACGCCACCGCGCUGCACUGGCCGCACGUGUCCAUACAGGGUUGCGUGGAGGUGCUAGAGAGCCUCCGGGAGGGAGAUUUCGGGCCGUGCGA